rnacentral:tRNA from 1 species
GCCUGGGUGGCUCAGUCGGUUAGGUGUCUGACUUCAGCUCAGGUCAUGAUCUCACAGUUCGUGGGUUUGAGCCCCACAUCGGGCU